AUGUUAAUUCUGUGUGCUCACACAUCUCCAUCAUGCUCACUCUGCUCUCACGUCUCCAUCACGGUCACUCUGUGUGCUCACAUGUCUCCAUCACGCUCAGUCUGCUCACACGUAUCCAUCACACUCACUCUGCUCACAUGUCUCCAUCAUGCUCAGUCUGCUUACACAUCUCUAUCAUGUUCACUCUGUGUGCUCACAUGUCUCCAUCACGCUCACUCUGCAUGCUCACACAUCUCUAUCAUGUUCACUCUGUGUGCUCACACGUCUCCAUCACGCUCACUCUGCGUGCUCACACGUCUCCAUCACACUCACUCUGUGUGCUCACACGUCUCCAUCACACUCACUCUGCUCUCAUGUCUCCAUCACGCUCACUCUGUGUGCUCAUACGUCUCCAUCACACUCUGUGUGCUCACAGCACAUCUCCAUCAUGUUCACUCUGUGUGCUCACAUGUCUCCAUCACACUCAGUCUAUGUGCUCACACGUCUCCAUCACACUCACUCUGUGUGCUCACACGUCUCCAUCACGCUCACUCUGCUCACAUGUCUCCAUCACACUCACUCUGUGUGCUCACACGUCUCCAUCAUGCUCACUCUGCUCACGUCUCCAUCACGCUCACUCUGCGUGCUCACACAUCUCUAUCAUGCUCACUCUGUCUGCUCACAUGUCUCCCUCACACUCACUCUGUGUGCUCACACACCUCUAUAGAUGGGUUUGAGGAGCAGGCAGCUCCUGCAUGCAGGCAUAACCUUUCACAUUAA
rnacentral:lncRNA from 1 species